rnacentral:rRNA from 1 species
AGUGGGGGAUAGCUCGGGGAAACUCGAAUUAAUACCGCAUACGACCUACGGGAGAAAGGGGGCAACUUGUUGCUCUCGCUAUUAGAUGAGCCUAAGUCGGAUUAGCUAGAUGGUGGGGUAAAGGCCUACCAUGGCGACGAUCUGUAGCUGGUCUGAGAGGAUGAUCAGCCACACCGGGACUGAGACACGGCCCGGACUCCUACGGGAGGCAGCAGUGGGGAAUAUUGGACAAUGGGGGAAACCCUGAUCCAGCCAUGCCGCGUGUGUGAAGAAGGCCUUUUGGUUGUAAAGCACUUUAAGCAGUGAAGAAGACUCUUCGGUUAAUACCCGGAGACGAUGACAUUAGCUGCAGAAUAAGCACCGGCUAACUCUGUGCCAGCAGCCGCGGUAAUACAGAGGGUGGCAAGCGUUAAUCGGAAUUACUGGGGCGUAAAGCGAGCGUAGGUGGGCUUGAUAAGUCAGAUGUGAAAUCCCCGGGCUUAACCUGGGGAAACUGCAUCUGAUACUGGUCAGGCUAGAGUAAGGUGAGAGGAAGGGUAGAAUUUCCAGGGUGUAGCGGUGAAAUGGCGUAGAGAUCUGGGAGGGAAUACCGAUGGGCGAAAGGCAGCCUUCUGGCAUCAUACUGACACUGAGGCUCGAAAGCGUGGGUAGCAAACAGGAUUAGAUACCCUGGUAGUCCACGCCGUAAACGAUGUCUACUAGUCGUUGGGUCCCUUGAGGACUUAGUGACGCAGCUAACGCAAUAAGUAGACCGCCUGGGGAGUACGGCCGCAAGGUUAAAACUCAAAUGAAUUGACGGGGGCCCGCACAAGCGGUGGAGCAUGUGGUUUAAUUCGAUGCAACGCGAAGAACCUUACCUGGUCUUGACAUAUCUAGAAUCCUGCAGAGAUGCGGGAGUGCCUUCGGGAAUUAGAAUACAGGUGCUGCAUGGCUGUCGUCAGCUCGUGUCGUGAGAUGUUGGGUUAAGUCCCGCAACGAGCGCAACCCUUGUCCUUAGUUACCAGCGGGUUAAGCCGGGAACUCUAAGGAUACUGCCAGUGACAAACUGGAGGAAGGCGGGGACGACGUCAAGUCAUCAUGGCCCUUACGACCAGGGCUACACACGUGCUACAAUGGUAGGUACAGAGGGCAGCUACACAGCGAUGUGAUGCGAAUCUCAAAAAGCCUAUCGUAGUCCAGAUUGGAGUCUGCAACUCGACUCCAUGAAGUAGGAAUCGCUAGUAAUCGCGGAUCAGAAUGCCGCGGUGAAUACGUUCCCGGGCCUUGUACACACCAGCCCGUCACACCAUGGGAGUUGAU